rnacentral:rRNA from 1 species
GACGAACGCUGGCGGCGUGCCUAAUACAUGCAAGUCGAACGCAGUUGCGAACGGGUGAGUAACGCGUAGGUAACUGCCCCAUAGCGGGGGAUAACUAUUGGAAACGAUAGCUAAUACCGCAUACUGUGAGAUGGACCUGCGUUGUAUUAGCUAGUUGGUGAGGUAAAGGCUCACCAAGGCGACGAUACAGAGCCGGCCUGAGAGGGUGAUCGGCCAAACCGGGACCGGGGCACGGCCCAGAAUCCUACGGGGGGCAGCAGUAGGGAAUCUUCGGAAAUGGGCGGAAGUCUGAACGAACACAGCCGCGGGAGAGAAGAAGGUUUUCGGGUCGGAAAGCUCUGUUGUUAGAGAAGCGUUAACUACCCAGAAAGCGCCGGCUAACUACGUGCCAGCAGCCGCGGUAAUAC